rnacentral:rRNA from 1 species
AUUGAACGCUAGCGGGAUGCCUUACACAUGCAAGUCGAACGGAGUGGCGAACGGGUGCGUAAUGUAUCGGAACGUGCCCAGUAGCGGGGGAUGACUACGCGCAAGCGUAGCUAAUACCGCAUACUUUUGGCUCGGCCGAUUUCGGAGUUGCUCGCUGGUGGGGUAACGGCUCACAAGGGCGACGAUCCGUAGCCGGUUUGAGAGGACGACCAGCCACACUGGGACUGAGACACGGACCAGAAUCCUACGGGAGGCAGCAGUGGGGAAUUUUGGGCAAUGGGGGAAACCCUGAUCCAGCCAUCCCGCGUGUGCGAUGAAGGCCUUCGGGUUGUAAAGCACUUUUGGCAGGAAAGCGGUACCUGCAGAAUAAGCACCGGCUAACUACGUGCCAGCAGCCGCGGUAAUUC